UGCACUCUUGGGCUCGGCAGCAGGGAGAGGUGGCUCAAUGACGUCCGAUGAGUUGAGCACCGGCAUUGGUGCCAGAGCUGGCAGCAUGCCACCAGUACUGCACUCCGCAUCGAGUAGCUGCGCCAGGUCGCCAAUUGGCACUUGCUUCAUGGAUGUAGACGUACCAUCUCCUUGGCGUGUACAAUAAACUUACUUUUGUAUCUUCUAACAGUCUUGGGGAAGUCAGUUAUGAAGCCAUCAACAUGAACCAACUGAACAUAGUUGUUGAUCUCCACUGUUCCAUCUGCGAAGAAAUCCACCGGUGGUGAUACAUACUCAUUGCGGAAUACCUCCACAUACACAGCUAACCCUGCAGACUGCACAUCUUCCACAACCUUGCUUUUCCUAAUAAUAAAACCUUUGCUCUCGGCAAAAACAGAUUCCCUGUCAACAAUAACAGCAUCUGCAAACUUCUUGAUAUCUGCUACGCAGGAAUCAGAAACGUCCCCAACUUUUAACGGGAGCGAGUAGACAAGCUUGCAUUGUGUUAACCUCUGCUUCAGUUUGACGAGAACAGCACUGUCUUUAGACUGAAUCAUAAUCUCCUUGUUGUUCUUGGUAGUUGGGUCCAUGUUGUCAUAGCCAGCAUUACUCAACGCAGUUGUUACAAGAUCAACGACAUCAAAUCCUAAUGAUUUUGCCAUAAAUGCAGCAUUCUCAUGAUGAUCAUGAUGCCGGAUAAAUCCUUGUCCUUUGCAUAUGUCAAAAAGUCGGAUAACUUGAAAAACUUUCCUUGAUUUGCGUACCUUGGGUUCCUUACAAAAUCAUGAUAUGGGUGGGAAACUCACGUCUCAAAGUGCUAAUUUCUUCCCAAGUGAGGUUAAACGUGAAUAUUCCCGGUUUAGUCUGAAUUUCUGGAACGACAGAAGCAAGUGAGCUAAACUUCGAGUUCUGAACAUCUGUACUAUCAUACAGGUUAAUGGAACUCAUGCAUAUAGGAAUUCCAUCUUUGGUCAUUUCGAUGGAACAGUCAAUGACAUCUGCACCAUCUCCAACUGCCUUCUCAUAAGCAAGAUCCGUACAGUCCGGGUAAUCUCCACUAGCACCAUUAUGUGAGAUAAUUAAUAUAUUCCCUGAUAAAAAACAGUGUGCAACAAAAGUAUGGACACAUACCAAUAGCCUCUGAUGCAGUAAGUGGGUGAUCCGUUAAUACACCAUCAACAGAGAAGCCACCAUUGCUGACAAAUGACAGAUAUUCCUCCAAAGGAUCAUAACUGUAGUUAUAGGGAAAAAUUCCAUCGUUUGAAAAAUCAGACGCAUAUAUUUCUAAACCUGCAUCGUGCGCAUCUUUGACAAUCUGUGUGGGAAGCUGAAUAUAGUUAUCACUCGUCACUGGCCAGAUAUAGCUUUUGGGAACCAUUAUACCAGAAGCAAUUGUCUUAAUAAAUGCCAGGUCACUCAGCAUAGAGUCAUAUGUUUUGUUUGUAGAAAGAUCGGAAACAGCUUUAUCAAGAAAGCGGAAUACUAGCUUCACUUUAUGAUCAAUGCCUCCUGAUAGAGUUUCCAGGAAACCUAGUUCAGGUGAUGAGAUGUACUUCACAAAGCCAAGCUUCUGUACUGAAAGAAUGUAAUUUGUCAUGUUCAAACCAUGCUCUCUAGCAAACUCUACCUCAACAUUCAACCAAAGAGAUGAUGGCUCGAUCGAGGACAUGAAGCCGGUGACAGAAAAGAUGCGGAAGUUGCAGAAAUCAAAUUUGUCGGUACGAGAAAAAAGUGCCUGUGUUACUGCCCAACGGUAGAUGUGACAAAGACAUGUUAUAGUCCACAGGGAACCAUCCGGUUUUCGGCACUCCAUUGAUUCUGUAUGUCUGCUUCCCCCCUGGAUAAACUUGGCUGAUAGUGGUGCCAUUCUGCAUAAGUAAAUCUCGGAGGCAAAAGCCAACACCGUCUUUCGUCAGUUGCACAUCGCACCACAAGCUUGUGUCAGUCGAGGUAGCAGACAAGGCAAAACCAAAGGCGAAUUGGCUGGAAUCAGGAAACAAUCCUGAAAAGCCACCUCUAGCAAUAACAAGAGGAGCAUUACCU
rnacentral:sRNA from 1 species